AUGGGGACGUCCGUGCAGGUGAUGCCGCUGAGCGGGGCGUACGGGGAAGGUCCCCUUUGCUAUCUGCUCGCCGUCGACGGCUUCCGUUUCCUCCUCGACUGCGGCUGGACCGACCACUGCGACCCCGCCCUCCUCCAGCCCCUCGCCAGGGUUGCGCCAACAAUAGAUGCUGUUCUUCUGUCUCAUCCUGACAUGAUGCAUCUAGGAGCUUUGCCCUAUGCUAUAAAACAUCUUGGAUUAUCUGCACCAGUAUACGCAACAGAACCUGUGUUUAGGCUUGGCCUUUUAACCAUGUAUGAUUAUUUUCUAUCUCGAUGGCAAGUUGCAGACUUUGACUUGUUUUCUUUGGAUGAUAUUGAUGCCGCGUUCCAGAAUGUUGUGAGACUGAAAUAUUCACAAAAUCACCUUCUUAACGCAGAUAAAGGUGAAGGAAUAGUUAUUGCGCCACAUGUGUCGGGCCAUCUUUUGGGGGGUACAGUAUGGAAGAUAACAAAAGAUGGAGAGGAUGUCGUCUAUGCUGUUGACUUUAACCACCGAAAAGAGAGGCAUUUGAAUGGUACUACCCUUGGAUCUUUUGUACGGCCAGCUGUUUUGAUUACUGAUGCUUACAAUGCCUUGAACAAUCAGGUCUACAAAAGGCAGCAGGAUCAAGAUUUCAUUGAUUCAAUGUUGAAAGUUCUAUCAAGUGGCGGUAGCGUAUUACUGCCUGUUGACACAGCUGGUAGAGUGCUAGAACUUCUUUUAAUAAUGGAGCAGUACUGGGCUCAACGACAUUUGGACUAUCCUAUCUAUUUUCUGACAAAUGUUUCUACUAGUACUGUUGAUUUUGUCAAGAGUUUUCUUGAAUGGAUGAGUGAUUCGAUCUCAAAGUCUUUUGAACACACUAGAGAUAAUGCCUUCUUAUUAAGACAUGUCUCACUGAUAAUUAACAAAGAAGAGCUAGAGAAACUGGGAGAUGCUCCAAAGGUGGUUCUAGCAUCCAUGUCAAGUUUGGAGGUUGGCUUUUCUCAUGACAUUUUUGUUGAGAUGGCAAAUGAAGCUAAAAAUCUAGUGCUUUUUACUGAGAAGGGUCAGUUUGGGACACUUGCUCGCAUGCUUCAAGUGGAUCCACCCCCCAAAGCCGUAAAAGUCACUAUGAGCAAGCGAGUUCCUUUAGUUGGUGAUGAGCUGAAAGCUUAUGAAGAGGAACAAGAACGGAUAAAAAAGGAAGAAGUGCUAAAGGCUAGCAUCAGCAAGGAGAAGGAGCUAAAGGCUUCUCAUGAAUCAAAUGCAAAGGCUUCUGACCCCAUGGUUGUUGAUGCAAGCUCGUCUCGUAAAUCAUCCAAUGCUGGCUCACAUGUUGGCGGGAGUGUGGAUAUUCUAAUUGAUGGAUUUGUCUCUCCGGUGACCAGCAUCGCUCCAAUGUUUCCUUUCUUUGAAAAUACUGCUGACUGGGAUGACUUCGGCGAGGUUAUCAAUCCUGAUGAUUAUAUGAUGAAACAAGAUGAAAUGGAUAGUAAUAUGAUGCUCGGUGCUGGAGAUGGCAUGGAUGGUAAGCUCGAUGAGAGCUCAGCACGCCUUCUUCUUGAUUCAGCACCGUCAAAAGUUAUUUCCAACGAGAUGACUGUGCAAGUGAAGUGCUCAUUGGCAUAUAUGGACUUUGAAGGUCGGUCCGAUGGACGUUCCGUAAAAUCAGUUAUUGCUCAUGUGGCCCCACUGAAACUCGUUUUGGUGCAUGGAUCAGCAGAAGCUACUGAACAUUUAAAAAUGCAUUGUGCAAAAAACUCUGACUUGCAUGUUUAUGCUCCUCAGAUAGAAGAAACAAUUGAUGUAACAUCAGAUUUAUGUGCUUACAAGGUACAACUUUCUGAGAAGUUAAUGAGCAAUGUCAUUUCUAAGAAGUUGGGUGAGCAUGAAAUUGCAUGGGUUGAUUCAGGGGUUGGAAAGGUGGAUGAGAAGCUCACUUUGCUACCCCCCUCAUCAACUCCAGCAGCCCACAAGUCAGUUCUUGUGGGUGAUCUGAAAUUGGCCGAUUUCAAGCAAUUCCUAGCAAAUAAAGGUUUACAGGUUGAGUUUGCUGGGGGUGCUCUACGGUGUGGGGAGUACAUCACCGUGCGCAAGAUUGGCGAUUCUAACCAAAAGGGUAGCACGGGUUCUCAGCAGAUUGUGGUCGAGGGUCCGCUGUGCGAGGACUACUACAAGAUCCGCGAGCUCCUUUAUUCACAAUUCUUCUUGUUGUAG
rnacentral:rRNA from 1 species